rnacentral:lncRNA from 1 species
CACACACGUGACAACACAGCAACUGAAGAGACUUCGACAAAACAAACAAAUCGGUGAUAUAUUGACCUGUUUAGUGAUCUUUAACGAUAUUUUACAGGUGUGUAUAGAAUCAUGUCGUGUGAAGCAUCGGUCCAGAAACAAGUGCUCUUAAUAAUGGACAGUUUAGUCACUUCUAUAGUGACAGAAAUUUGUCAACUCGAUAUUUUUCAGUCAAAACGUCAAAAUGGGAAUCCAGAAACUGAUAUUAAAAUGAAUCUGACGGCUGCUAUAAGGAAAAUAACAAACUCUACAGCUGAACACAUCUGCAGAAUCCUUCAUGAAGCAUCAAGUGGAUCAAGAAAAGAUCUUACACAACCAGAUCAAGUCAACCAUAUGGUAGAGCAGCAGUUUGCUGGGAGUGGAAGACCACUUAACACUCAUAUCAGAGAUGAGGAACAUGUCAAAGGUGGUUCUUCUCAUAGUUAA